rnacentral:rRNA from 1 species
UUUCUUGACGACCAUAGAGCAUUGGAACCACCUGAUCCCAUCCCGAACUCAGUAGUGAAACGAUGCAUCGCCGAUGGUAGUGUGGGGUUUCCCCAUGUGAGAGUAGGUCAUCGUCAAGAUUC